rnacentral:rRNA from 1 species
AACGCGAAGAACCUUACCUACCCUUGACAUCCAUAGAAUUCUGCAGAGAUGCGGAAGUGCCGAAAGGAACUAUGAGACAGGUGCUGCAUGGCUGUCGUCAGCUCGUGUCGUGAGAUGUUGGGUUAAGUCCCGCAACGAGCGCAACCCUUAUCUUCAGUUGCUACCAUUUAGUUGAGCACUCUGACGAAACCGCCUCGGAUAACGGGGAGGAAGGUGGGGAUGACGUCAAGUCCUCAUGGCCUUUAUGUCCAGGGCUACACACGUGCUACAAUGGCCGGUACAAACCGUCGCAAACCCGUGAGGGGGAGCUAAUCGGAAAAAGCCGGCCUCAGUUCGGAUUGGAGUCUGCAACCCGACUCCAUGAAGCUGGAAUCGCUAGUAAUCGCGGAUCAGAACGCCGCGGUGAAUACGUUCCCGGGCCUUGUACACACCGCUAGUC